CGUACAUGAGUGAGAUAACAACACACACGACAAACAGUCACAGAUGAAGUUUUCACAUGGACAGCCUGACUCACCAGCUGAGCCUGCAUCGAUGGUCCGGCCACCCGAUCCCUGUGUGGGCUUAGACACGAGGACCAAGGGAUGGCAGCCAGAGUUCCUGAAACCCCAGCUACAGAAGAGGAGAUUCAAGAGAUGCGGAAGAUGUUGCCUGAGAUCAUACAACUGGUGUACCUGGUUCAGCUAGAGGUCAGAGGUACUUCCAGGGGAACAUGCAGCUUCCCCCACAACCUUCUGAAGCAGAGUCCUGCCUCCAGCAACCCUGGGAGCACGUCUUUGGGCUUCCGUUUCCUGAAUGAGAACCCUGGAAGAGCUGCUAUUCUGUCUCCAUCCCGACAAUGCGCGUCGUCAUUGCCCCGUCUGCUGAGCCUGCAGUUUAGUUUUAGGAGAAACUGAAGAGUAACUGUUACUCCACACUGAUACACAAGAGGCGAGAUUUGAGAGUCACACAACGUUGACACUUCCCUUUUCUGUGAAGGGUGGUUGAGCAGACAGACUUUUAUUCUUUUUGAUGAUGGGCAGAGACUUGAAGUGCUCGUCUUACUGCUGUUUGAACGACUUUAACAAGUUACAUGGAGCAUUCACAAUAAAAGCUGUGUCCUAAAUCCA
rnacentral:lncRNA from 1 species